AACGAACGUUAGCGGCGCGCUUAACACAUGCAAGUCGAACGGGCUCUAGCUUGCUAGGGUCAGUGGCGCACGGGUGAGGAACACGUAGGUAAUCUGCCUCUGAGUGGUGGAUAACUCUCCGAAAGGAGAGCUAAUACAGCAUAAGACCACGGCUCUCCGGAGCUGCGGCCAAAGCGGGGGAACUUCGGUCCUCGUGCUGAGAGAUGAGCCUGCGGCCCAUCAGUUAGUUGGUAGUGUAAUGGACUACCAAGGCAAAGACGGGUAGCUGGUCUGAGAGGAUGAACAGCCAAAAGGGAACUGGGAAACGGUCCAGAAUCCUACGGGAGGCAGCAGUGGGGAAUCUUGCGAAAGGGGCGAAAGCCUGACGCAGCGACGCCGCGUGAGCGAUGAAGGCCUUCGGGUUGUAAAGCUCUGUGGGUAGGAAAGAAUAAGGGCAAGUUAAUACCUUGUCUGAUGACGGUACCUACUUAGCAAGCACCGGCUAACUCUGUGCCAGCCGCCGCCGUAA
rnacentral:rRNA from 1 species